GCAGGACUACAACUCCCGGCGUGCACCGCGAGUAGCGGUGGGCCCGCCUCCUUGUGUGCUCCGCCGCGAGGCACCACGGAAAAUGUAGUCGGUGGUGCCACGCGGCGGGACCGGGACAAGGCCCGGGCACAGCGGGGAUGCGGGACGGGGAUGAGGCUGAGGAUGGAGAGGAGGGCGAGGAGGCAGAAGGGCCCUCCAGAGCCCUGGAUUAAUUGCCCAACAGAGCCCUGAGCUGGGCCUGCGGCUCCCGGUGUGUCCCGGUGCAGUGUCACGAAAGGAAUGAGGAAUCCCCACCGAGAUGGCAGCCACAGGACACCUAAAUCUCUCAGAGAAAAAGAAUUUAUUGCUCCAUUAUCAGAAGAAAUUAACUUCUUCCUGCCUUCAGGAUUCAGAGGAAGGAGCUGACACUGCCCAGACAGAAUCCUGUAUUGGAAUGGAAUUGAUGCAUCAUGGAUGAGGUGUAUGAAUAUGCAACAGGCUGUUGCUGUUAAGGGUUAAUCCUCUGGGUCUUUUUUCCAUUUAUUUUACCCAGAAAAAGGUACCUGGACCGUCCAUAACUCUUUAUUUUUAUUGUCUGAUAUUAUCCUAACCCUAAUUGUCCAAAUUUUUAUUACUCUAAUUUUAUUGCUAUUUUUAUAACCAUUUUAUUACUAUUAAACUUUUAAAAUGUUAAAAACAAGUAGAAAUCUAAACUAUGCUACGUAAGAUACUUUUUUAAAGAGAAAAUUUAAGUACACCAAAAUAACAGCCACAAAACACCUAAAUCUUUAAAAAAACUUGUUGUUCCAUUAUUAGAAAAAACUUCUUCCUACCUUGUUUAGCCCUAAAGACACUGUCAAGGUUAAGAAGAAGAAGUUAACACUGACCAAACAAAAUCCUUUUUUUAAAUAGAAUUUAUACAGCAUGUAUGAAUAUGCAACAAACUAUUACGUUUAAAAGUUAAUCCUGUGUUAACUCUGUCCUUUUCCAGGCUUAUUUUACCCAGAAAAAGGUACAUGAACUGUCUGUAACUCUUUGUUUUUAUUGUCUUGUGUUAUCCUAACCCUAAUUGUCCCAAUUUUUAUUACUCUAACUUUAUUGCUAUUUUUAUAACCAUUUUAUCACUAUUAAACUUUUUAAAUGUUCAAA